rnacentral:rRNA from 1 species
GGAAAACUUACCAGGUCCAGACAUAGUGAGGAUUGACAGAUUGAGAGCUCUUUCUUGAUUCUAUGGGAGGUGGUGCAUGGCCGUUCUUAGUUGGUGGAGUGAUUUGUCUGGUUAAUUCCGUUAACGAACGAGACCCCCGCCUGCUAAAUAGGUCCGUGAAUGGAUUUCAUUGACGAGAUCUUCUUAGAGGGACUUUUGGUGACUAACCAAAGGAAGUUGGGGGCAAUAA